UCCUGUUCUACACCAGACCACUGGAGCCAGACUGCAGCUAGAGCCCAUCGCCAUCCUCAUGAUGUUGUAAGUAGGCAAUCUAGUAUAUUAUUAGUGACUCUAAUCUCUAAUUUACCUCACAUUAAAGGGACAAUAUAGUCCCCAGAACCACUGCAGCUUAAUGUACUGGUUCUGGUGUCUAUAGCCUAUCCCUGCAGGCUUUUUAAUGUAAACACACACUGUGUGCAGCACUGGCGUUAGUUCAUAUGGCAGAUCAUAUGGGUGGGGCAUUGUGAUGUCACAUGGGGGGGGGGGGGAUUGGCAAAUUUUUCCUUGCACCAGCCCUGCCUGUACAUCUCCCUUUAAUCUGUAAACACAUUAUUUAAGCUGCAGCCGAACAACCCUUUUAGGCUUGUGACAUGUGGAGCAAUUGCCCCCCCUAAUCUCUUAAUCAUGUCAGAUUUGCUGUGAUUUUUUACACAUUAGAGAAUGCGGAGAAAAGCCUUCAGGAUUAAUAUUAUAGACUGUAGAAAAGCCCCUAUUCUUAUUCCUCCCCUGUACAGACAUUAAGUAAAAAAGUCACUUCUUCCCAACAUGCAAAUGAGAGAUUUGGUCAACAUAGAACUAAAACAUCCAGAAUAAACAACACACACAAAACAGAAACAUGUAACAUGCAAAUCAUAUGUAAAUCUAGUAAGCAGGGCAUGUCCAACCUUCACCCACAUAGUUCAUGGUUAUGCUGGACAUACAUUGCAAAUACCUCCCUCACACUGGUUAGAGAAAGAACAGUGCAUGCUGCUCUCCUGAAGGUUCAGAUAACAUUAGCCUUUCCCCUACAAAAAAAAAACAGUACAGAGAGCACAACCAAUCCUCCAACCUUUCACAGACACGAGCGUCUUGUGUUACACAUUCUAUUCUCACAUUUGUAAGAAUGGAGCAACACAUAGAGAUUGCCACUCCUACCAGUGCAGCUAAAGUGAGCUAGCAAGCUAUAUAUAGCCUAACCCUGAAUACACUGCCACAUGAAAAUCCUUGAUCUUUCCUCAACAAAGCACACACAAAACAUUUGUGACUUUAUUGUUAUAACACAAACAAUAAACAGUGCAGUAUUCACAAUCUUACCGAAAGUAGACAUGCCGGGUAAUCCACUAAAUUGAGAAUUAUCAGGUUUUCAAAAGGAAUUUCAAAUCUUAGACCAAACUGGAAGUAUAGUUGUCUAUACCUAAAUUUAAAAUUCACUUUGAAUUCAAUCUGAAUUCUGAUAAUUUUCUCUUUAAUAAAUAAUACAGAUAGUUAGUGUACAUGUCAUAUAUUAAUCCCCUCUGAUAUACUCUCCCAGCGCCCUUUCAGUGUUUCUUUCUCUGGCUCUGCUUCUUCUCCCCAACUUCUCUCUGUUGGUGUCCCCCAAGGUUCAGUCCUUGAUCCCCUACUGUUCUCCAUCUACACUGCCUCCCUUGGUAAACUCAUUAGCUCAUUUGGCUUCCAAUAUCAUUUCUAUGCAGAUGACACACAAAUCUACCUGUCCUCUCCUGAUCUCUGCCCGUCCCUCUUGACUAGUAUAUCUGACUGCCUCUCUGCUGUUUCUGGAUGGCUGCCCACUUCCUUAAACUAAACUUGACCAAAACUGAAAUUCUGGUCUUUCCUCCCUCAAGUGUUGUUUCUCCUGUGUCUGUCUCCCUCCAAGUCAACGGUGCUACCAUCAGCUCCACCACGCAGGCUCGCUGCCUAGGUGCUCUCUUUGACUCCGACCUCUCCUUGAAGCCUCAUGUUCAAUCUAUCGCCAAAUCCUGUCAUUUCCAUCUCAAAAACAUUGCGAGCAUCCGCCCCUACUUAGAUGCGAUUAAGGUGUUGGUCCAUUCCAUUGUCCUUUCUCGCCUUGACUACUGUAAUCCGCUUCUCAGUGGUCUUACGUGCUCCCAACUUGCGCCGUUAUAGUCAAUAAUGAAUGCGGCGUUGAGGCUCAUCUUCCUGUCCGCCCGCACCUCCCAUGCCUCACCCUUCUGUCAGUCCCUACAUUGGCUUCCUAUAAAAUAUAGAGCUCAAUUUAAAAUUCUGGUUCUUGCUUUCAAAUCGCUACAUAAUACUGCUCCCACCUAUCUAUCCUCCCUUAUACACAAGUAUGUCCCGUCUAGGCCCUUACGAUCUGCUGAAGACUUACGUCUAUCUUCUGUCCGUACUCCCACCUCUGAUGCUCGCCUUCAAGAUUUCUCGAGGGCUGCACCGAUCCUGUGGAACUCGCUUCCCUCCUCCAUUAGAUGCUCACGCAGUCUCCACUCCUUCAAAAAAUCAUUAAAAACCCACUGACUGAUUCCUCUUCUGCAACUGUCACUAGUCUAAUACUAUCCUUACCUUUUUGUGUCAUUUUACCUCACUCCCUCUAGCAUGUAAGCUCAUUGAGCAGGGCCCUCAACCCCUCUGUUCCUGUGUGUCCAACUUGUCUGGUUACAACUACAUGUCUGUUCAUCCACCCAUUGUAAAGCGUUGCGGGAUUUGAUGGCGCUAUAUAAAUAUCAUAAUAAUAAUAAUAAUAUACAAAUGAAAGAAACAGGAGAUAUUGCAACCCGACUUAAAUUAAGGACAUGUAUUGGAAAAUGAAAACAUAAGCAAUGCAACUCCAUAAUAAACAAUUUUCACAAACUUUCCUCAUUAAACCCUUAAGGACCGAAACAAUUGUACAAGUUCUGAUCAAAAUAAACCCUAGAAUUUGAGCUAUUGCCAGUGUGAUAGAUCCCUCUGUCCUGAACUAAAAUGACCGUAUUCCUCAUUAGUUUGUUUGAUUCGCGUUUCCCCGUUCCUAUGGACUCUAUGCCGUUCCCUUUCUAUGUACCGAAUAAAACUUCCGAACGGCCGGCCACCCAGUAGAGAAGUGUGCUGCUGGUUAACCUCUUGGCCCCAUCCAGUGGAGCCCAUUCGUAUGAGAACUGACUUUGUGAACACUUUGGCUCCACGGCAAUUGGAUUGUGUACAUAGGAUCUGAGCGCUAUUCUGUACUUUGGUGCGCUCAGAUCCCAGCUAUCUGGGGACCUGUUGUAAAAUGUUGUAAAAUGUAACAGUUAUGUAUUUUUAUGCCUUUUUGUUAUUGUCACCUAAAAUGGCGUUUAGGCUGUGUCCUGGGAGAUAAUUUAAUUACUUCACAAUUAUCUCCCCAGGCAGAGCAGAAGGGUUCUGGGUAAGGAAAGGGGAAAGGCUAAGUGUAUACCCUGUGAUUGGCUGCUUACUAUGUCCUUGUCACAGUCUCCCAUUGGGGAGUGUCCACCAUAUGGGAGACCUGCAUAAAAGCCGGGCAUGUAGCCCUCAGUAAACCAGAUUCCUGCUGACCCUCAGUAAGGAGCUUUGUCUCGUCAUUGGGGGGAUUAUUCGUAUGGAGUACGCUUGUUCAGCUGUUUGGGAGAGUACUUGAUUCGUAUGAUUGCUGUUCGGCUGUUUGAGAAACUAAUUGAUCCAUAUGACUACUGUUCGGCAGUUUGGAGUGCUCAGUGGCUACCUCUGCAUUCGGUAAGGGAAAGUCCUAUACGACAGUAACCCCUCUCCUACCGGGGGAGCUGUAACAGCCAGAUUCACAAUUUAGUGGACGGAGCCCAAGAUGCAAAUGGGUGCUGCAGGCAAUGGACCACGUUCGCAGUACAAAAGGAUCAGGCGAAGAGAGUUGUCGGGAAAGCCAAAGGUCAGGACAGGUGGCACAGGUUCAGAAGUGAUGAUAAGGGCAAUGGUCAAAAUCAGGAUACAACAGGAUAGUCUCUCAAGGUCUUUACACAAUAAGGAGCACAGUACAACUGAGUGAAGAGUUAAGGAUGUGUGCAGCUUAAAUAGGGAAAGUAGGUGGUCUUGUCUAUUCAGGCUCCAUCCUGCUCUCCACCCUUUGAUUGUCCUUAAGUUCUACCUCCUGUGUGGUCGUACGUGGAAGCAGCGGCGUUCUCACGAACAGAGUCCAACCUUACUGUGCCCGAUAAAAGGCGUCAGUACGAACAAAGUUCUGCUCUCUGUGUUGCAGUGUUCGGUAAGUGUUCUCAUGAACAGACUUCUGUUCUUGCUGUGUUUGGGAGCCGACGUCCGUACAAGCAGAGUUCUGCCUGCAGUAUUGGUGAGUGGCGUUUGCACGUAUAGCGGUGGCGUUCAUAUGAUGAUCUAAGUAUAUAUAUAUACACAUACACACUAUCACUCACAGUGUAUUUUAAUAUAUAUAUAUAUCCGUAUAUACUCGAGUAUAAGUCGACCCGAAUAUAAGUCAAGACCCCUAAUUUUACCCCAAAAAACUGGGAAAACUUAUUGACUCGAGUAUAAGACUAGGGUGGGAAAUGCAGCAGCUACUGGUAAAUUUCUAAAUAAAAUGAUAUCCCCAAAAAAAUUAUAUUAAUUGAAUAUUUAUUUACAGUGUGUGUGUGUGUAUGAAUGCAGUGUGUGUGUGUGAUGCAGAGUGUGUUUGUGUAUGUGAUGCAGAGCAUUGGUGGGGAGUGGGCAUUUUUAUAAUUUUUUUUAAAUUAUUAUUCUUAUUUUAAUAUUUUUUUUGUUAUAUUAUUAAUAUUUUAUUUUUAUUUUAUUAUUAUUUUUUUUCAUAUUAUUAAUAUUUUAUUAUUAUUUAAAUUUUUAUUUAUUUGUAUUCGUCCCCCCUCCCUGCUUGUUAGCUGGCCAUGGAGGGGGGCUCUCAUUCCCUGGUGGUCCAGUGGCAUGGCUGUGUAGGAGGGGGGCUGGCAGCGAGCUGUAACUUACCUUUCCUGCAGCUCGUGUCAGCUUCCUUCUCCUCCACUGUAAGUCUCGCGGUCUGAGUGCAGUGUGGAGCGUUGCCAUGGUGACCCGUGGCAACGCUCUGACCCCGCCGCUCUCGUGAGACUUGCAGUGGAGCUGAUAGGGGAGCUGACCGGACUGGAGGAGAGAGAAGGGAGCUUAGAGGAGCUGCGGGAAAGGUAAAUUACAGCUCUCUGCCAGCCCCCAACAGGACCGCCGGGCUUGUCAUGAGCCCGGCGGUCCUGGUCUGUAUUAUGGCAAGUAAGUUGCCAUAAUACAGACAUUGACUCGAGUAUAAGUCGAAUAGGGGUUUUUCAGCACACAAAAAAUGUGCUGAAAAACUCAACUUAUACUCGAGUAUAUAUGGUAUAUGAAAAUAGUUGAAUUUUUUUAUAUAUAUAUAUAUAUAUAUAUAUAUAUAUAUAUAUAUUACAACAAGAAGAACAGAUACUGCAAGUUCUCAGUGCAUAAACACCCCUGAGACUCGCUGCAUCACCUGGAAAUCUAGAUAUAGCUAUGUAGUCCUACUAAUGAACUGGCUGAUGAUAUAAAAAUAUAUAUAUAUAUAAAAACAUUUUGCAUUAACACAAAUUACCCAUCAUUGCAUCGAUCUUAAUUGGACCGUGCUCGUUUUUCAGGUCACCCCACCACUGCACUCCUUAGGCAUCAUAUAUUACCCUUGGUGGGACCUCUUUUAUUACAGGCCUGCCCAUACGUUGGUUACUGCACACCCCAACCAACUUUGCAUGAACACAAAUUACACAUAUAACUAUUAUGUCUCCAACCACCAAUAAAUAUAUAUAUAUAUAUAUAUAUAUAUAUAUAUAUAGAGAGAGAGAGAGAGAGAGAGAAUAUUCCAAAAAUAAGGCUUGCACUCACGGUCUGUAGUAAUGUUAAAAAUAUAUUUCUUCUUUAUUCCAAUAUUCUUAAAACAAAUCUGUAGUCAUCAACGUUUCAGCCAUCACUUGUGGCUUUCAUCAGGAUCAGUUCAAUACAAAAAUUACAUAUACAAACAAUUGCAUUUAAAUAGCUAAACAAACUGAUCACUAAAUCUUUGAAAAUGCUCACCACCUGUGCGACCGAUCUCCCGGCGUCUCUCACAUUGUAUUGCGCAUGCGCGAACACGCCGAUACCCGGAAGUGGCGUGCUUGCGUCAUCAUCCGUUGCCUGGGUUACCCGCUAUGUUUACAAGCUCCCAGGCAACGGAAUGAUCCUACAGGACGCUCGGGCGGGUGCACGGUGAUCAAACCACUUAGAUUAAAUUAAAACAAGUUGAAACCACAAACAGCAUGGUGUGGGCAAAACAUCCUAGUUAAAUUUAAACUCUAUUAUAAAACCACAACAACUCAUAUGUGCAUAAGCACUAAAUCUAGGCCUAUUAUAUACAAAUAGCUUAUAGCUAAUGUGCAUAGAUAUUCAAUAAUGAUAAUAUUAAUCUACUCAAAUGUUAUAUUAAUAAUUAAAUAUCAUAGAUACAUGCUACAUAUUAAAGUGCAUGAAUAUGAAUAUAUAUACAAUAAAGUGCUACCUACAAAAAUACUGGUUACUAUUAUAUACAUAAAGUGUUAGGUGCAACAAUAUUAUGUACAAUAAAGUGAACUGAUAUACAUUAACAUACACUAAUGUGCUGCUAUUGAUCUAUAGGAAUAUUCCUUACUUUUAUAUACAGUAAAGUGCACAUAAAGUGAAUAUAAAGUGAACUGAUGUGAAAUUGUGUAUGCUUAAAGCACUACUUUGAAUCUUUAAAGAGAUACUCAUUCCUAAUAUAUACAAUAAAGUGCUGGCUGUAUGAAUAACACUAGUUAAUAAGUGCUGAAAAAAGUGCUAAGUGCAAAUGUAUUAUGUACAAUAAAGUGAAUAAGUGUGUUAAAUACAAUAAAGUGCCAUCAUGAAUCUUUAAAGCAAUACUGAUUGCUAUUAUGUACAUUAAAGUGCAUACUGUGUAUAUUAUGUAUAUUAGAACCCUUAUUUAAAAAGAUUAUUCCAAGUGACACUAAGAGUUAAAAGUUACAAUGUAGGUCAUAUAUAUAACUAAGUGAACCUCUAUCAUUGAUAUACUUCAAUGUACACAUUUAUCAACAUUUUAGUAGAUUUACACAUAAAGAUACAUAAGUUAUACUCCUAAUUGAAAGUAGGUAAUAAGCUAUUAAGUUUCUAAGCUAUGUAACCAAUAAAGACAGAUCCCUUAGACCAUGCUGCUAACUGUGGUAAUUCAUACUGUUAAAACAUUUCUCUACUCAAGAAUGCUUCAAUUAAUUUCAGCGUUACUCAAAUAAAUGGGGCAUAUGUUAACAUUUCAUUUAAUCCCCGAGGCGCAACUGUAUCCAGUUCAUGAAUCCAAAAUGUUUCUCUCCGUAAUAGAAUAUUUCCUCUGUUGCCACCCCUUCUGGGUACUGGUAUGUGGUCUAUUGCUACAAAUUUUAAUGUAGCCAGAGGGUGUUUGUACUCCAAAAAGUGCUUAGCCACAGGCUUAUCUGUGCUUCCAUCCCUGAUCGCGGUUCUAAUAUUCGACCUAUGUCCCCUGAUCCGUUCACACAAUUGUGUUUCAGUCUUACCAAUAUAACAUAAGCCGCAAGGACAUGACAACUUAUAUACAACAAACAUGGAUUUGCAUGUAAUUGUAUAUCUUAUCUUAUAGCUCUUAUUCUUGUGUGGAUGAGUGAACGUCCGUGCUGGCACCAUAUGGCCACACGUCACGCAUCCCAAACAACGAACACAUCCACGCACUUGCAGGUUCUGUUGUUUGGUAUAGCUUUCUACCGGGUCGGUUUUCAUUAGUAUGUCUUUCAAGUUUCUAUUCCUCCGAAAACAUAUCCUUGGAGGCUCUCUAAACUCGCUAGGUAAAGUGUGCUCUAUUGAUAGCAUGUUCCAAUUCUUUUUGACUAUAUUCGAAACUUUAUGCGCUUGAUUGUGAAAUGUAAUGGGAAAGACCAACGCCGGCCUUUUAAUAAGAUCUCGGGGCUUGGUUGCUUUUUCAUAAGCUUUUUCCAAUGCUCUCUCUAAGAUUCUUGACCCAUAUCCUCGUUCCAAAAAUUUCUUUUGCAUUUGCUUUAAUUGUUGUUGUUUCACACUUUCAUUCGAGUUGUUUCUCAUGACUCUGAGAAACUGAGCCUGUGGAAUAGAAUUCUUUAAAUUUCGCGGAUGGGCACUUGUAUAAUGUAAAAUCGUAUUGCGAUCUGUGGGUUUGGUAUACAAACUAAAUUCAACUUUAUUAUCAAUUAUUGAAAGUUCCACAUCCAAAAAAUGAACUUUUUCUGUACUGAUAUCAGCCGUCAUACGUACUGGUGUAGGGAGCUGAUUAAUGGAUUCCACCAUCUGAUAAGCCUGGUAUGUUGUACCCCUCCAUAAUAUCAAGACAUCAUCGAUGAAACGAAAACAUUUUAUGAUGUUUUGUCGAUAAGGUUUAAGUAUAUAUUCUUCCUCAAAUACAUACAUAUACGAAUUCGCAUACAUAGGUGCCAUAGGUGCGCCCAUCGAGGUUCCAGAUUUUUGCACAUACCAUUGUUCUUCAAACCGGAAAUAGUUGUUUCUUAAUACCACCUCUAAUAACUCUAAGGUGUAUUCGAUAGGCGGCCCCUUGUAUGUAGUUAAAGCACAUAGCACUUGUCUCAUAGCCUCUAUACCAUCUUCAUGAGGGAUGAUGGUAUAGAGGCUACUAACAUCCAUAGUAAUCAAGACCGGAUCCGGUGCAUCUAUAUUAAGCUGUUUCAAGAUUUCCAAAAGUGAGGGUGUAUCCUUGAUACACGUAUGCAGUUGCAAGACUGUUUCCUUCAAUUGUACAUCCAGCCAUUUCCCAAUCGGUUCCAGGACUCCACCCACCGCCGAUACUAUGGGUCUUCCCGGUGGUUCAGUUUGAUUUUUAUGUAUUUUAGGUAUCGUGUACAUAAUAGGCGUCCUAGGAAAUUUUUGGACAAAGUAUGCGUAUAGGUUUUGAUCUAUAUAAUUUGCUCUCAAACCCAUAAUCAGUAUCUCUUCUAUCCUUGCUUGUACGAUAUUUGUUGGAUCUCCUUCCAAUUCUUCAUAUGUGUUCACGUCCCUCAGUUGUCUUUUAACUUCUUCAGCAUAUUUAUCAUAGUCCAUUAUAACUAUGCCCCCGCCCUUAUCCGCGGGGCGUAUAACGAUGGAUGAGUCCUGUGCUAGAUUGUUUAAAAAUAAAUGUUGCUUUUUACUUAAAUUAUUACGUGACACGUGGCUUUUUCAAUGCUUCUGCAGAUUCGAGUUGGACAGUUGACAGAAACGUUUUGAUACUUGCUCGAUUAUUUUGCGGAUCAAAAUUGGAUCUUGGUUUGAACCGUGUUAACACUUCAUUUUCAUUAGAUUGGUACGUAAAUGGUUUAUUAAAAUGAUCUUUCAAACGCAUAAUUCUUCCAAAACUAAAUAGUUCCACAUUCCAAGUGAACCUAUUCGGAUUGGUCUCAGGGACAAAUGACAAUCCCAAUUUGAGGAUAUCGAUCUCCUCUUUAUGCAAUGUUCUAUGUGACAGAUUGAAUACAGGCACUACCGUCUCAGUGGUGGUCUCCCACGGGAAUUGGUUCUUCCCCUUGUGCCCUCUCCUUGUUCUACGCCGUUUGUGCCUCUGCCUCUGCUUCUCGUUGUAGUACCGGUUACCAUGGUCUCUAAAAAAGCUUCACCAUCACCUUGUAAAUCCGUAUCUGAUGCCGAUUCCCCAGAUGUGACAUCUAUCGUAUAUGCCUUGGGGCGCACGAUUCUUUUACGGAAUCUUCUAGGUCUCUGUUGGUUAGCCCCACUUAACCACUUGUAGACACGGUGCUCCAUAUAAUCCUGUUGUACAUAUUCAAAUUUUUGUUUCUUGAAUUUAAUCAAGUCAUUUUUGUAUUUCAACAUAUCCUCUUUUAACUUAUCUAGCAUCUUCGUGCCUUCCAAAGUAGCUAGUAGUAUAGCAUGUUCUGUUUCAAUGUCUAAUAUUUUCCGUGUAACAAUAUCCAUUUCAGCUUUCACAUCCUGGAUUAUAAUUAGCAUGAGAUCUAAUGAUGCCUUAUUAAGUACUCCUAUCCAAUCUCGACAAACCUUGGCUUUUGAUCUACCAAUUGUAGGUAUAUUCAUAAUGCGGAACCCCCUGGGAAUCCUUUUUACUUUAUAAUAAUCGGAGAGGAACAAUCCAUGAAGGUCCAAAUCAAUCCGCUUCCUCUGUAGCUUUAAAAGUUGGAAGUACAGAUCUUUAGUGGUUAUAUUGCAUGGAAAUUCUGUACUAGAUUGUACCCAGAGUAUAGCUUGUGCUUCUUCUUGAGUGAAAUGGAGGGUUUCUGCCUGCUCAGCAUAUCCCCCUGCUUGUAGCAUAAAAUCAUCUGUUUGAUCCAUAGUGAAAAAACAUAGCGGGUAACCCAGGCAACGGAUGAUGACGCGAGCACGCCACUUCCGGGUAUCGGCGUGUUCGCGCAUGCGCAAUACAAUGUGAGAGACGCCGGGAGAUCGGUCGCACAGGUGGUGAGUAUUUUCAAAGAUUUAGUGAUCAGUUUGUUUAGCUAUUUAAAUGCAAUUGUUUGUAUAUGUAAUUUUUGUAUUGAACUGAUCCUGAUGAAAGCCACGAGUGAUGGCUGAAACGUUGAUGACUACAGAUUUGUUUUAAGAAUAUUGGAAUAAAGAAGAAAUAUAUUUUUAACAUUACUACAGACCGUGAGUGCAAGCCUUAUUUUUGGAAUAUUCUAUAUUGUUUGGCUAUGGCUAUUAUGCACCCGGCAUUUUUUUGAAUUUUGCAAGUGUGUGUGCAGGGUACCAGUGCAAGUUAUAUAUAUAUAUAUAUAUAUAUAUAUAUAUAUAUUUAAAUUAUAUGUGUUUAUUUAUGUAAUCUUUUUACAUAAUUAAGUAAUUUUAUUAAUUACAAUUUGAGGGAUCUGUCUGAUAACCCAGACACAAAGUUCAGAUAAUUUACUUGCAAGGUCAACACGGCAACUUUUCAAAACACCAUAAAACCUGUACAUGGGAGACUUUGCAGAACACAAUUAUGAGCGUUUCAAAACAGUAAAGCAUAUCAAGACUAUGAUAUCAUCAGUGAAAGUGUCGUUUGUGUGUGAAAAAUGCAAAAAAAACAAUAUGAAUGCUAACUUUGGCCAGUGUUUGUGACUAAAUGGCUAUCAAAAAAGACUAGACAUACCUUAUUUGUAAUACCUUGUGUUGUCAACUUUUGCAAAUGGUAUGUCAUGAUGGGACAAUUCUCAUUCUUGGGCUGCCAUAUGGUCUCAAAGGCAACAUAACCAAUUUGGCAAAAUUCAAUGUGUAAAAACUGAAAUGGGCAAACCUUAUAUUUGACAUUGUAACUUUCCAAAACACCAUAAAACCUGGACAUGGGGUGGUACAGUUGUACUCAUGAGACAUUGCUGAACACAAAUAUGAAUGUUUAAGAGCAGUAAAAUUUAUACUGCUGAUGAUAUCAUCAGUGAAAAGGCAGGUUUUUUUUGGACAAAAUACGAAAACCAUAUAUGAACGCUAAAUCUGGCCAGGGUUUGUGAUUACGUGGCUGUGGCGGAACCAACCUUGCCACUAUGCACUGGAGAAGCCUGGUUGCUCGCCUGCUCCCUUUAGACUAUGGCCCUGCAGUUCAGACCUGUUAUUUUCCAUGCUGAAAGGUUUAUUCGUGCCUUUCUGCCGGGAUGUUCAGUAGAUUCAAUCUACCGAACAAACUACCGAACGAUGGACCACCUGGGAACUGGAGUGUGCCGUCAAUUGACUGCCCAGAAGCUGCGGUUAACCGCAGCUUAAUUGAUGAAUGCUGGGUGGCCUUUGUUCGGUUGCCGAACACGUGGCAGCGGCCAUUGUACCUCCCGAACGGCCAGCGGUGUUCAGCGCCCAAACUAUGGAACUGAAAAUGGACACUUAUUGGCGCGAACACCGCUGAGCCACCAGCCUCCUUACCUCUCCAUUUGGUAGCGGAACCGAAUGACUGUUCAUUCGGUAGUUUAACUGGAUGAACAGCAUCACCCCAGAUAGCUAAGCCAUGGAGCCUAUUCGUGUAACGAAAGACUAUGUGAAAGACUUUGGCUCCAUGGCGAUUAAAAUGUAUGUAUGUGAUCUGAGUGCCAUUCGGUAGUAAUGUGCGCUCAGAUCUAAGCUAUCUGGGGAUAUGUAGAAUGUAUAUGUUUUUUUUUUUUUUUUUAAUUCUUUAUUUUUGCUGUGCAUGAAAUAAUUUUGCAUAUCAACAAUGCCACAACAGCAAUCGCAAUCAAUUUACAGACACUUAUUUGUCAACUGUUGUACAGCAUAGAGGACACGCACACAUUUUUUUUAGGGUAAUAAUACAAGUUAAGUACAAGCUUAGUAACUACGUCUGUCUUUUGAAUUACAUUGUCGAUUAGUACCAGUAGCUUAGGGUUAAUAUUUAUGUCGCGUGUCAUCGCUUCAUUAUCUAGACAUUGACAUGGUUAUGCCUGACUAUGCUUAAGUGAGAGACAUACAUUUUGUACAGUAACAGUUGGUCUAAGUAGUCGUGACAUGCAGUAGUUGAGACUGUGAGUUUGCACUUUAGGUUAUAAUAGACUAUGCAGUGCUGACUAACAAAAUAUAUCUAUUUCUAUUAAGGUUUCCAACUUUAGCUAAGAUUCUCAUUAAAGUAGGGUGCCACCAGGCAGAGCAUCAUACAUUCAGUUAUUUCCUUCUAUACAUAUAAAGCUCAAGUAAAGCUGAACUAUAUACAGGGUCAUAUGCAGAGGAUAUGCACGUUAUUCAAUGACUGCAACUACAGUGAUAUCUGGUAUAGCUAUUCAUGUCAUACUAUAUAUUGUGCUUCUUAUUAUGAACGGCUGGGGUCACCGUCAGCUCCAGCCCAGCGCAAAGCCUGAGGUAAUCUGGUUGUGUUCCAUGCCCAGGUGUGGGGUGAGUCCCUUGAUAUUACCCCAUGAAUUCCACUUGUUCCUAAUGUCCCGGUUGUUGGGUAGGUUUGCCAUGUCUUGCGAGCCUUGAUGUAUUGUCGAGGGCUAUAGCACCAUGCGGUCAGUGGGUAAAGCUGGGUGUUCUGUUUGUUCUUCCAGCCCUGGUCGUUAGUGGAGCUUGCUUGCAGAGUGCCCUUCUGGGGUUGCCGCUUUGAGAUGGGCAUGUGGAGGAAAUGCUGGCUGUGGUGGUUCUCAUUUGUCAGCUUGUAUGUUCCAGGGCUGUUACGUGGGGGCAUGAGAGCCCUCAGGGACCCCCGGUGGUAGCAGGUUGUGAGCACAGAGUGAUCACCUUCUGUCGAUGCAGUUGCUGUGCCUCCGUCAGCCAUUUUGGUGAGACCGCGUGGGAUCCUCACUCCGGCUUCAGACCAUUCAGGUGAGACGUUUAGGCAUUAGCCCGCCUGGUGGGGACCGGGAUGACCCCCCCGGCCCAUGGGGGGGGAAGCAGGACCAGGAAGGUACCAAGUAGAUGGUGAUUUACUGCAGUCGGAGUGGAGAGCGAGGCAGCGGCCGUCCACCCCGCUCCCCUCCCGGGUAGGCCUCAAUCCCCGAGCGCCAGAGUCUCUCACCAGGACCUAGAGCCACCCUGCGGCGGGCGCUCCAGCUACACUGGGACACUUCAGGGCUUCAUGUCAUGGACCCCCGGGUCCGUAUAAGUCGGGUAAAGUGGAUAUAUUGCCUUUUUUCCUUUGUUUGCUCAGGAGCCCGUGUGAUAUGCAGCCUGCUGGCAUGGCCGCCCGGCCCCGCCCCCCCGAAUGUAUAUGUUUUAUGUAAUAAAUGUAACUGUAUGUAAUUUUAUGUCUUUUACUGAAAAUGUGUGUAAUGGAGUUUUGCCUCUGUCCUUGGAGAUAAUUGGAUUACUUCCCAAUUAUAUCCAGGACAGAGAGGAGGGAUUGUGCUGCAUUGUGGGAUGGUUGAAAUGUGUAAGUCUGUGAUUGGUUCUUGUACCCUUUGUGUUCCAGUCUUCCAUCUGGUCCCCUAGGGGAGUGUACCAGGUGGGAGACCUGCAUAAAAGCCGGGCAGUUAGCUCCAGUAAACCAGAUUCUGUUUGACCCUCAAAACAAAGUGUCGUCUCGUCUUUGGGAGGAUUUACUGUAUGCUGUUAGAGACUGAUUGCCAGGAGUGUAAGCCGCUUGGGUGCUUUUCCUGUUCAGCUGCUUACAGCAUUCAUAUGCUUGAGAGCAUUCAUAUGCUUCUCCGGUUCGGUGGUUGUGGUGUCUGCUGCAGUGCUUGGAGUCCUCAGGAAGCGCUAGGAGCAUCCUUCAAUGGAGAUACCCAGUCGGGGUGCCAGGUGAUCCGUUACAGUGGCUAAAAAAAAAGACGAGACAUACCCAAUUUUUAAUACCUUGGGUUGUCUACUUCUGCAAAUGUGGUGCCAUGAUGGGGUUAAUUUUCAUUCUUGGGCUGCCAUACACACUCAAAGGCAACAAGGGCCCAGCAAACCAAUCUGGCAAAUUUCAAUGUGUAAAAACUGAAAAGGGAACGCCAUGCUGAUAAGCUCCUCCGAGCAACAUCAAAAAUCCACGGAUAUCCCGCAAAAGAGAGCCCAUCCAGCCCUAAAAAGUGGAUAGCUGAACACACCAACACCCCCUGAGGCGACAGAUGCCUUUUUUUCUUGCACCCAACCAGCCGAAGCGGAGAAAGAAAACCGGGGCCUACCCCACUCUGACACUAACAGGCCUGGAGGCGCUACUUACACAACAAGUAAGAAACGAUCCCCCCCGGAUCCCUACAGACGCCCACGCCCAAAUGCCAGCUAUGGGCCGCUGCUCCCAGAAAUCGGGGGCGUCGGACCACAGGGACAUAGAGACACUGUUCCAACAACCGGCACAGCCCAAACCGGCACCCGCGGAAAUCCCGCGACCAUCCAACCACAACUACCCGGGAGAAGAAACGGGGUCUGACCGCAUACCAGCCGCCCAAUCGAGGCUGCAUGAAAUCCCCACUGACUCCACACCGACAACCAGGCAGGACCUAAAGGUCCUACUGUCAGACUUCCACAAAAUUCUGGCGGCGGAACUCGCACCAAUAAAACAUGACAUGAAGGCCAUCACUGACCGAGUGCAGGCCUCCGAAACAGAUAUAGCAGCUAUGCGGACGCACAUCUCAGAACUCCAGAAUUCACUGCAGCAGGUCUGGGCCCACCAGAACACCAUGUCCACACAGAUAACGGCAAUGGCAGACCGUCUCCGCCGAUCCAAUAUAAAAAUCAGGGGCAUCCCCACGGCAGUAACAGAGGACGAACUGCCUCACUACGUUAGGCGCCUACUGGCCUCUAUCCUGCCUCACGCAGUAGCUAAAAAGCUGACCGUGAAGGGGAUCUACCGCCUACCUGGACCCGUGGGGGGACCAACUAACAUGGCAAGAGACGUCAUACUAAGGUGCCUCACAGUGCACUACAAAAUCCUCAUCAUGUCCGCAAUUAAAGGUAAAACGCCUUUAUACUUUGAAGAGGCUCAUCUCUCGUUUUAUCAAGAUCUCACAAAGGCAACCCUCCUCUGGCGCAAAACAUUCCAACCGGUAACAAGCCUUUUACGUUCAACAAACAUAAGCUACAGGUGGGGAACGAACGGAUCCUUAACGGUGACCCAGCAUGUAAACCUACAUACACUUACUUCGAUGGAAGACACAACACCAUUCCUGACAGCACUGGGCCUGGAGCCACUGAGGUCCAACACACCCCCGAACACCUCCACUCCCAUUUGGAAUCCGGACAAGACGGUGACCUUUGUCCCGAGGAACGAGAGCAUGAGAACGACGGACCCAGGACCAAGCUUGAGAGCCGACCCAACAUAGGGUACCCGGAAACAACACCUGAGGACUGCUUGGCCAGGCACAAACGCUCCCAAGUCCUACAAGAGACUAUAUGUUCAGUUAUUUACUAUUAAUAGCACCUUCUGUGCUUCCCCUCUCUCUCCCCGUCCCGCAUAAUUUCUUAUUACUACAACCGUCAGCAUCAACACCAGCUCCAGGGCGCACAACACAACUAGUGGAGGGGGACACAUAUAUGGUACCACAUAUAUGGUACCAACUAUCCCACAACUGCAAUCACUCAAAUCCCCCUACACAAACAAACUAGCGGGCGCCCUAGAACACCCACACUCCAUACCCCCCCGACACUCCCUUGGUCAGGAGUGCCCAUCCAGAGUGCGUAGAUUUAGUCAGGACACAGCCCUGAUUCCGGGUCCUGACAGCCAUGUCACCUCGGAUACUACCUAAAAGACCACACUUACGCUAUGCACAUACUGCAGCCUAGUUAAGCACGCAUAUACGCACAUAUAUGUUGCAACCUCGGCCCAGUAACGCUAGCAUGCACCCCUAACUUAGGGACACAACAACCUUAGGUAAGCGGAGAAACAGCACGCAGCCACACAUCCCUCAUGCAUAGGGAAACUCGCAAGUAACCUAAGUUUCUGCAAGCACACUAAGAAGUAAACUGUGUAAGUCCUUAAUGCAUACUCCCUAACACCAGUACGGCACAUUUCACUAAUAUGACAUGCAUACGCACCCUCCAUACCUUGUGCCAGAACAUAAAGAAUCAAACAAGAGAUUAACAUAGUAAGGGACUAGAAUUGCAAGUAGUCAGGGCCAGUGCAGUAACUUUGAUUCUCCUUUGCAAGCCUACCAAGUUACACACACGCCUUAUCACCAAGCAAUUUAUGCAUUUAUGGAAUUAACAUGGCCUCACCUCCUCCCGUGCCAUCGCGGGGUUUUUAUUGUUCUAUGUUCUAACAUUAGCAAAAUCGAUAUGCCAGCAAAGUCACCUUCAUCUAGGAGUCAGGGUUGGCUGCUGGACCUAUGACUGUUUAUUAUUUUCAUCAUCUUUAAUCAUAAAAAUUGUGCAUAUUUUCUUACGUACCUCUUUGUCUACAUGGUUAUAUACCAAGUUGGAGGAUUGCCUUUGGGGUACCUCCCAACUGUCUGUUAUGAGCUUAUGCACUACAAAAAUAAAGAAUUAAAAAAAAUAAAAAAUAAAAAAAAAAAGAUUUACAAAAAAAUAAAAAUAAAAAAAAAUAAAAUAAAAUAAAAAACUGAAAAGGGAAAAGUGCUAUAUUUUACCCUGUAACUUUCCAAAAUCCCAUAAAACCUGUACCUGGGGGCUACUGCUGUACUCAUGAGACAUCGCUGAACACAAAUAUGAGUGUUUUCAAACAGAAGAAUGUAUAAUGCUGAUGAUAUCAUGAGUGAAAAUCAGUCUUAAUUUUGUUGAUUAACAAUUUUAGUCAGAUUUUAGUCGACUAAACUUUUUGAGAUUUUGUCGACUAAAACUAGACUAAAAUUAAAACAAUUCCAUGACUAAAAUACAACUAAAACUAAAAUGUCUUCUUAGUCAAAAGACUAUAACUAAAACAAAAUUAAAAUUUGCCACCAAAUUUAAUACUGGCAGGUAAGACACAUGGGGGAGGUAGUAUAGGAAAUGAGACACAUGGGAACUGGGGAAUUGAAACACAUGGACUGAGGGGAUCAAAGAGACAAAGAGGGGCUGGGGAAGGGACAAAAAGACAAAGGCUUUAACUAAACCUAUUAGAUUGUAGCCGACUUAAAUCUGUUUGAGAUUUUGUUGACUAAAAUCUACUGGAGAUUAGGGAUGUGCAUGAGGAAAAUAUUCGGUUUGCUUCAGCAUUCCGAAAUUCUGGACUUCUGCUGUUCGGAACUUCGUCACUUCGACAUUCCAGAAUUUCAGAACUUCAGAUGUUCUCUUGCAAACACUUAGUAGAUAACUCCAUAAUUCCCACAGUACUAGGGAUCUAUCUACCAAAAGGCUGAAAGACCUAAAUUGGUCUUUCAGCCAAAUUUAAUAAUACUAAGUAAAAAUUACUUAGUAUUAGUACAUUCUGCCCCUACUUGCUCUACCGUGAGUAGGGGCAUGUCUAUUAAACAGUGAGCAGCCAGUGGCCCCCAUCCCUGACCGGUGGGUGGGGGCCUAAAAUACUUCAAAGGAGGUGGACCUAUUGUCCUCCCCCUUGGCCCCACCCUUGAGUGGCAGGUGGGGGCCCUAAAGUAAAAUAAAAGGGGGGCCUAUUUUUCUCCCCCUGGCCCCCACCCCUGAGUGGUGGGUGUGGGCCCUAAAUUACCUGAAAGGGGGGGAGACCUAUUGCCCUCCCCUGUGGCCCCCACCCCUGAGUAGCGGGUGGGGGCCCUAAAGUAGAAUAAAAAGGGGCCAGGGGGAGGACCUAUUGUCCUCCCCCUGGCCCCCACCCCUGAGUGGCGGGUGGGGGCCCUAAAUAAAAAUCCCCCCAGGUAACUAGGGGUCCCCAAUCCCCUAGUCACCCCCUCCCAACAAAAUUGUUUAAAUCCCUACCUACCACCCUCACCCUAAAAAUAGUGAGGGGGAACAAUUACUAAGUACAUGUAAAAAAAAAAAGAAAAAAAACCUACCAUUUGAUGUCUUCUUUUUUCUAAAAUCUUCUUUUUGCAGCCACAGAAAAGGCCAAAUAAAAAACCAUAAUAUCCCUCGCAAUUAAAAAAAAAAAUCAGACGGAAAAAACAAACCUCGAGGCUGAAAAAAUAAUCCAUCUUCACCCAUGGAGGGCACCACGCAGACUGAGCUCCGCAUGGCGGGGCAAGGCUUAUUAAGCCUUGCCCCGCCCUGCAAUUAGGCUCAGAGCGCUCUGAUUGGUUGGUCUGAAAUUUUCUCACGCUGUGUAAUUUGACUUAUAACACUCUGAUUGGUUACUAUUAAUCAGAGUGUUGUUAUGAGUCAAAUUACACAGCAUGGGAAAAUUCCAAAGAACUUUCCCACGCUGUGUAAAAGGACACCGAGCACUCUGAUUGGUUGGAUUUCAAGCCAACCAGAGUGCUGUGACAGGUAAAUAGACUUACAUGUCAGUCUCUUCAUUUACCUGUCAGAGCACUCUGAUUGGUUGGCUUAAAUCAGAGUGCUCUGAGCCUAAUUGCAGGGCAGGGCAAGGCUUUAUAAGCCUUCCCCCGCCUUGCGGAGCUCAAUCUGCGCGGUGCUCUCCAUGGGUGAAGAUGGAUUACUUUUUCAGCAUCGGGUUUUCUGAUUUUUUUUCUGCUCAGUUUUUUUGUGUUUUUUUUAAGUGCAACGUGUAGUAUGGUUUUUUAUUUGUCCUUUUUUGGGUCUGAAAAAAGAAGAUUUUGGAAAAAAGUAGACAUCAAAUGGUAAUUUUUAUUUCUUUUUAUACAGGUACUUAGUUAUUGUCCCCCCCUCACUAUUUUCAGGGUAUGGGGGGUUGUUAGGGGUUUAUUAAUUUUAUUUGAGAGGGGGUGACUAGGGGUUUGGGGACCCCUAGUCACCUGGGGUGGUAACUUUUUUUAUUUAGGGCUCCCACCCGCCGCUCAGGGGUGGGGGUCGGGGGGGAGGACAAUAGGUACCCCCCUUAUUCUGAUUUGAGGUCCCCACCUACGGCUCAGGGGUGGGAGCAGGGGUGAUGACAAUAGGUCCCCCCCUUAUUUUACUUUAGAGCCCCCACCUGCCGCUCAGAGGUGGGUGUCAGGGGGGAGGACAAUAGGUGCCCCCCCUUAUUCUACAUUUGGGCCCCCACCCACCGUUCAGGCGUGGGGGCCAGGGGGGAGGACAAUAGGUCCCCCCCCUUAUUCUGAUUUGGGGUCCCCAUCCACCGCUCAGGGGUGGGAGCUGGGGGGAUGACAAUAGGUCCCCCCCUCUUAUUCUACUUAUGCAUGGUGAGUUUGCAGUGCAUUUGCAUAUUAGACAUGUGCAAUUCGUUUUUUUUUUCCGAAUGUACAUUCGAACGAAUUUCAUGCAAUUCAUACAUUCGGAAGAUUACGAAUGUCCAAAGUUCUGAAUUGCCGAAGUUCAGAAUUGCCAAAGUACCGAAGUGGGUUAAGGUUAGGGUUCGGGAUAGGGUUAGGAUGAGCGGUAGGGUUAGGGUUUAGAUGUUAGGGUUUAGGUGGUAGGGUUAAGGGUUUGGGCUAGGGUUAGGGCUAGGGUCCGAAUUAACGAAGUCCCAAAUUGCCGAAGUACCAAAUUUCGGAAGUGCCAAACCGAGCCGAAUGCCAUUAGUCCAAAUUGCCAAAGCAGACAAAUUUUUGAUUUUGUUUUGAUCCAUAGAUGGGAAGUUUGUAAUUUGUGUAAUUUAGGUACUGUUCCAAAGAGCAUUGUGACAGUUUUGUCAGUGUUUAGGAAGAGUUUGUUUUUUUUUGAUCCACUUUUCUACAUCUGUGAACUGGUCUUGGAGCAAAGCCUCAAGCUGUGGUAGAUUGGAUUUGCUUGCAUAGAUUUCUGUGUCAUCUGCGUACAUGUGUACAUUUGAGGAUUUGCAGACAUUAGGCAGGUCAUUUAUAAAUAAAGUGAAUAGUAGGGGGCUGAGAAUGGAACCUUGUGGAAAACCACAAGUGACUGGGAGAGGGAGGGAGUUGCUGUCAGAAAUGGACGCAUAUUGUGAUCAAUCUGAUACAUAUGAUCGAAACCAGGUUAGCGGACAAUCAUCAACACCUGAGUUUUCUAGUUUGUGCAAUAGAAUGUCUUGGUCUACUGUGUCAAAGGCCUUUGCAAAAUCGAGGAAAAUAGCUCCAGUUAGGUCUCCUUCUUCCAUGCCAAUUUGGAUGUCAUUGCAAACUUUUAAGAGGGCAGUUGUAGUUGAGUGAUUCUGGCAGUUGUAGUUGCUAGUAAUACUCACAUAGUUGCGAACAAAUAAAAAGAGGAGAGUAAGCGCUAGAUAACAGUGGAGCUGCAACCUAAAAAGAGGGGAUCUCUCAGAUAAACCCUCAAAUACAAUAGAGAUAAAAAACAAACAAAGAUAAAGGAUGCGCUAAAAUAGACCAAAUAGAUAAAAAUAUGAAGUAAAAGUCUUAGCUGUAAAAAGAUCUUCUAUAGAUCAAAUAGUCCAUAAAGUGCUGGUUCUGAAAAGUGCUUCUCCAGAGGUAAUGUCCUCAAUGUUCUUCUUCAGGGGGAUCCAGUACCAUGGAACGAUAAAAACAGAUACAGAAACCAAAUGGUGUAGUACGUCCAAUGUGAUAUAGAAGAUAAAAGGGAAGAGAAGUAAUGCACUCACGUGUAGUAGAGCUUUUAACUAGCUCUUAGUGUAAAAGGUGUACAGCGGUAUGAUCCCCGCUUAUGGGAUAUGGUGCAGACUACUAUUUUACCAAAUAGAUAAAAAUAUGAAGUAAAAGUCUUAGCUGUAAAAAGAUCUUCUAUAGAUCAAAUAGUCCAUAAAGUGCUGGUUCUGAAAAGUGCUUCUCCAGAGGUAAUGUCCUCAAUGUUCUUCCUCAGGGGGAUCCAGUACCAUGGAACGAUAAAAACAGAUACAGAAACCAAAUGGUGUAGUACGUCCAAUGUGGUAUAGAAGAUAAAAGGGAAGAGAAGUAAUGCACUUAAGUGUAAUAAAGCUUUUAACCAGCUCUUAGUGUAAAAGGCGUACUGCGGUAUGAUCCCCGCUUAUGGGAUAUGGUGCAGACUUCUUCUUCCAAGGGUAUAUUUCACAUUCAAAUAGAAUAGAGAGAAAAGGAAACCAAUAGUGCUCACUGGGUAAAAUUAAUAAAAUAAUUUAAAAUGAAAGGGUACUCACAAGAGUGCAGCAGGCAAACUGCUCCUUAGCAACAGCGUCGGUGGUAUAACUCCUACUUGGAGUCCAGAAGAAUAAAAUGCCAGGUAGAAGAUAAAAAUAAAAAUAUAUGUAUAAAGUGUAUAUAAAAGAUAAUUGGUACAAAUAAAAGAGUAACCAAAAUUUUUUUAAUAGAUUAAAAUACAUAAAUAUAGUAUCCACAAACGCGUUUCACCAAUAAGGCUUUAUCAAUAUGGAAAUAGCUUUAUCAAUAUGGAAGAAGUCUGCACCAUAUCCCAUAAGCAGGGAUCAUACCGCUGUACGCCUUUUACACUAAGAGCUAGUUAAAAGCUCUACUACAAAAACCAAAGUAGUGUCCCCACUUUUAUGGAUUGGCAAUACUCUUUAUUGCAGUGAAGGCUAACAGUAAUAUGACUUUCACAGUUAAAAUGCACACACUAACUACAUUUCUCACAACUUUUAGUUCUUAUUCAUAUAAAAUUCUGUUUCAUAUAUAAAUGUUUGAUAUUAAAUUAAAGUCUUGUUUCUCCCGAACAAAAUGAUAUAUAAUAAGUGUGGGUGCACUUAAUAUUAAAGAGGUAAAUUAUGGUUUAACAGACAUAUAGUCAAAUUCCAGUUUUGUUUUGAUUUUGUUUUGAUCAGAACUUGUACUUACUUAAUUUUGAUGAAGUUGUUAUGGUGCCAAAACGGGUCUUUUAAACUGCAAUAGCUACUCUACCAUUUCACUGUCAGCAUUACAUUAGCGGUCCAGAGUCCAUUCGCUCCUCCCCCCUCUCUGACUGUUACUGUAAGAAUUGUAUCAUCAAGUGAAACACCCUAUACUGUUUAAAAGCAGCUGGUAAGCUGAUAUUUUCAGCAGUUUUAGAUUCCUUAUAUCAGUAACAAGUGGCAGAGAAAUGUGGUUCUCUGUUCUAGUAUUGAAGGGGUUAAGGGUUUAUUCGCUAAAAAGUAAAUUGAGGUGCAAUAAAAACAGAAUCAAAACAAUCCGGCAAUAGUAGCAGUUACAGAUUAGAUUUUUUAGUGUAAAACUCCAUACUUUUCCAUACACCCAACUUCACUGGUGGGGCAGGUUGGGUCAUUUUUUUUCUUAUAUUGUUGGUUUUUAAGAGAAUACGUUUAUAUAUAUUAUAUGUGCUUUGUUACAAUUAAUUAAAAGAAAGAAAACUACAUACACCAUACUUAUAGAUAGGCUUUGAUAAUAAAUAUCUUAUUUUCUUAUAGGAUGUAAUAGGAGUUUACAAUAACUAACUUGUCUUUUCAACUUUACACCAAGCUGAAGGAGUGUGAGUAAUCAAUUUCUAUAUGGCCUGUUGUCAUUUUCAUGAUCUUUAUCUCAAUGUUAAAACUCAACAGCAGCCACCAGGGCCGGACUUUGCAAAAAUAUUUGGGCCGGGCAUAUUUUAAUCACAGUGGCUUAGUGGGAGCACCAAUGACAAGCACAUACCCUCAAAGUGAGCAUGUUGGUUCAAUGCUCUUCCAGGACAACUCAUCCACAGUGCCCUGCUGAAGAGAAAGGCCCUUUACAUGUUAUGCACAGCACAAGCACAUGUAUUGACAUGCUUAAACUGCAUUUGCUUGUGACUUACAUAGUUACAUAGUUACAUAGUUACAUAGCUGAAAAGAGACUUGCGUCCAUCAAGUUCAGCCUACCUCACAUUUGUUUUUUGCUGUUGAUCCAAAAGAAGGCAAAAAAAAACAGUUUGAAGCACAAUUUUGUAACAAGCUAGGAAAAAAAUUCCUUCUUGACCCCAGAAUGGCAGUCAGAUUUAUCCUUGGAUCAAGCAGUUAUUACCCUACAUUGAAAGAUUAUAUCCUUGAAUAUUCUGUUCUUGCAAGUAUGCAUCUAGUAGCCGUUUGAACAUCUGUAUGGACUGUGAUAAAACCACUUCCUCAGGCAGAGAAUUCCACAUCCUGAUUGUUCUUACAGUAAAAAAACUUUCCUUUGCCUUAGACGAAAUCUUCUUUCUUCCAGUCUAAACGCAUGGCCUCGUGUCCUAUGUAAAGUCCGGUUUGUGAAUAGAUUUCCACACAAUGGUUUGUAUUGGCCCCGAAUAUAUUUGUAUAAUGUUAUCAUAUCCCCUCUCAGGCGACGCUUUUCUAAACUAAAUAGGUUUAAAUUUGUUAACCUUUCUUCAUAGCCGAUAUGUUCCAUUCCUUUUAUUAAUUUUGUAGCCCGCCUCUGCACUUUUUCUAGUGCCAUAAUAUCCUUCUUUAGAACAGGUGCCCAAAAUUGCACAGCAUAUUCAAUAUGGGGUCUUACCAGUGAUUUAUAAAGAGGCAAAAUUAUAUUCUUGUCCCGAGAAUGAAUGCCCUUUUUCAUGCAUGACAAUACCUUACUGGCCUUGGCCACUGCUGAUUGACAUUGCACAUUGUUGCAUAGUUUGUUGUCUAUAACAAUUCCCAAGUCCUUUUCAUGUGUUGUUAUCCCUAAUUCGCUUCCAUUAAGGGUAUACGUUGCUUGUGUAUUCUUUACGCCGAAGUGCAUAACUUUGCAUUUUUCAACAUUAAAUUUCAUCUGCCAUUUGAGUACCCAGUCCCCCAGUCUAUCUAAAUCCCUCUGCAGCAAAGUAAUAUCUUGCUCACAUUGUAUUGUUUUACAAAGUUUGGUGUCAUCUGCAAACACUGAAACAUGACUUUCAAUGCGGUCUUCAAGAUCAUUUAUAAACAUGUUAAAUAGAAGGGGUCCCAGAACAGACCCCUGAGGGACACCACUUGCCACCUCUGUCCAGCUUGAAAAUUUACCAUUAAUGACAACUCUAUGUACUCUGUUUUUAAGCCAAUGUUCUACCCAAGAACAAGUAUUUUCAUCUAGACCGAUUUCCUUGAGUUUGAACACUAAUCUAUUGUGUGGAACUGUAUCAAAUGCCUUGGCAAAAUCCAAAUAGAUCACAUCCACGGCAACACCCUGAUCUAUACUUCUACUUACUUCUUCGUAGAACGCAAUCAAGUUAGUUUGACAUGACCGGUGCUUCAUAAAACCAUGCUGAUUUUUGCUGAUAACCACGUUCUUCUCAAGGAAUUCUUGAAUAUUAUCCCUUAAUAACCUUUCAAAUAUUUUACCAGCCACAGAAGUUAAGCUCACAGGUCUAUAAUUUACAGGCAAAGAUUUUGAACCCUUUUUGAAUAUAGGAACCACAUCUGCCUUCCUCCAAUCCUCUGGAACACUUCCUGAAAGAAAAUAAUCUUGAAAGAUUAAAAAUAGACUUGUCUCGGGUGUCUCCAUAAGUCCAUCAUACUGCAGUGAGAAGAUUAUUCAAAAGUGAAAAGCAUUCAAGACAGUUACCAAUCUUCCCAGGAGUGAACAUCCCAGCACACUUACAUACCAAGUUCAGAAAGUGUAAUGCUCAAAUAAACUGUAAAAAAAAAAAUCUCAGACUCUUCAGGCCUCAGUUAGAAUGUUUACUAUUAAAAUCCAUGACAGUACGAUUAAAAAAAGAAGUGCGGUUUCUUUGGAAGGGUUGCUAGGAGAAUGCCUCUUCUCUCUAAAAAAACAUGGCAGCACAACUCAGGUUAGCAAAGUUGCAUCUGAACAAACCACAAGACUUCUGGAAUAAUGUCCCUUGGACAGACAAGAUCAAAGUGGAGAUAUUUGGCCAUAAUGUACAGCGCCACUUUUGGAGAAACCCAAACACAGUGGUGAAUGGAUGAUGAUUUGGGCUUGUUUUGCAGCCACAUAACCUGGGAUCCUUGCAAUCAUUGAGUAGACCAUGAACACCUCUGUAUACCAUAAUAUUCUAGAAUCAAAUUUGAGGCCAUUAGUCCAACAGCUUAAGCCUGGCCGAAAUUGUGUCAUGCAACAGGACAAUGAUCCCAAGCACACCAGCAAAUCUACAACAGAAUGGCAGAAAAAGAAAAUAAUCAACGUGUUGCCAUGGCCCAGUGGAGUCCAGACCUCAACCUGUUUAAAAUGCUGUGGCGGAACCUUAAGAGAACUGUGCAUAAACAAAUCCCAACAAACCUCAAUGAACUGAAGCAACAUUGUAAAGAAGAGUGGGCCAAAUUUCCUCCUCAGAGACUGAUAACGUUAUACAGAAAAGUUAACUUCAAGUUUUUGCUGCUAAAAGUGGUUCUGCAAGCUAUUGAAUCAUAAGUUGUGUUUAGUUUUUCAAACAUGGCUUCUCCAUGUUAACUUUAUGUUAAAUAAAUCAUGACACAGUGUAAUAUGCCAUGUGUUGUUCAUCUGGAGUUCUAUUUACCUAAUUUAAGACCUGCUAAGGAACAGAUGGUUGUUAUUAUGUCCUGAUAUGUAAAACCAUAGAAUCUGAAGAGGGUGUAAUUUCAUUUUCCCAUGACUGUAAAUACAUUUUAUUUUAUUUUUGUUUUGUUUUUGUUUUUUCAUUUAAAAUGUAUCAAACUUUAUUUCCCCAUCACUUCUUCUUAUCUUUUGGCAGGGAGGAGGGACAUUUCAAGCCCCCUUAUUGCAAGCCCUCGUAUUUCUCCAAAUCCUCCCCCACGGAGUUAGUACCUACUACUGGUAAAGUAUAUACUACCCUUUGACUGCUUAUAGUACAGACCAUCAUAACUUGAAGUAUGUAGCUAUUCUGGUGUCAUUUCAACAUUUGGAUGCUGGUCGCUCUGAGCUUAAUCAAGUUAUGAUGCUGGGAUGCCUUGCAUUAUUUCGGAUACACGCUUACGUGCAUCAUUCCUGUCACAUUGAUUUCACACCAUUUGACAUUGCAGGAAUGACACAGAUUAAUAUUAUUCUACUUAGGGCUAUAUAACAACCACUCUCUGUCCAUGCUUUCCCCUAUCAUGGCUUCCCUUUUGGUGAUCCGAGAGUGCAUUUAACUACUUUUUGUUUCUCUGGUUUUUGACAUUGGAUUGUUCUCAGCUAUUUUUUGUUCUGUAAUCCUGUACCUUGGCUUGUAUCACUGUUGCUGUUAAAUUCAAUUAUCCUCGACUCCAGAUAAUUAUUGACUAUUCUUUUACAUUUCUACAGUUUUUUUAUACUUUCUGUUAGCAAUCACUUCUAAGGACUGGUAAAAAUCUUUCUACUUGCCUAGGUGUUUCCUACGUACUACGUGUUGGAGCCUAGUAUCGUGACAUUUGCGCAUUAGUUGAGCCAUGACAGAGUGGCUCAAACUGAUCAAAAAUGAUUUUACAUUAACCGGGGUGACGGCACCUAUGUGCCAUAUCUACUUCAAGGAGUUCUAGUGAUUAUGGUGUUUAGAGUGCCCCUUUAAGCAUCACUCAGGGUUCAAUGCCCUUUUGCAGAUUAUUAUUAGUAUUAUAAUACCAAAGUGCAUUGCCGAUGUAUAUUAUUCACUAACUUACAGUGAAUUGUAAACUUAAUAGCAAACUUGACCAACAUGAAUUAUUUUUACUUACAUUUUGCUAAUUAUGCUGAUAUUAACAAAAAAUUCAGUGUUUAGUGUAUGAACUCCAUAAAUGUUUUGCCUGUGUUUUGACACUGCCAGUUUAUUGACUUUUGCUAGUGUUUCAGUUUCAUGUUUCCUGGAAUAAUGAACUUGGCUAGUUUAGUUACCACGUUUACUUUGUAAUUGCCAGCUUUUGUUUCUUAUUUCACUUGAGUUAUUUUCUCUAAGGUCCUGUAAUAUCACUUGUUUUUUUUUUCGUUUUGGUGUUUGACCUAUAAUACUGAGUUUUGUUAAAAGCUUUGAAUACAAACUAAAGCAAAAAAAAACGGUCACCCCCAAGGGGGACUGGUGGUGUGUCUGUGAACAAACCAAUAGGGGGUAACCCUCACUUUAAAUGCUAGAACAAUAGAGAAAAAGGCCUCAGGGGCACUAGGCCGCCAAAGGUCAGUGGGUUAGUUUGCCACAACUCACUGUAUUAAAAUGAAACUUUAUUAGAUACUAAAAAUAAUUGUGUAAUAAAUCCAUGCUCAAAACCAAUAAGUGAAAAAAUAAUAGAAGUGAAAAAAUGCAAUAAAAACUUGUGACAGGCCGAACAGACCUACAGGGUCAGCAAUGAAGCCACCAGAAUGGUGGGGGAAAUUAACCCUGGUCUAACAAUAGACAGCUCAUUUACUGUGCAUUAGAGUUCAGGGAACAAUGGGUGAGCCAGGCUAAGAAGAAAAAAGAAGGAACUGUAAGGGUACAAAUACCCUCGAUUAUAGUGGUUGUGAUACUAUUAAGGAGUGGCACUAAAGAUAAUGAAUAUAUCUAAUAUGUCAUGAAAUAUACAGCUGCUGAAAUACCAUAAAUAGUAUCAAGGACGUGGAAAUUAUGUAGCUAAACAAUGUGGAAAGUCAUGGACCUAACGGUCUCUAACAGAUACUUGUGAUGGUAACAAUGUUGCUAAAUGCUAGAUAACGUAAGAGCAUACAGAAUCAAACGGACCCUCGCUACAGUGAAUUAGUGCAGCUUCAUUGUAGUUGAAACAAAGCUAAACACUGAUGAUCUAGUGCACUAAUGUAAAGUGCAAUUACCCAAAUUCAGUGAAAGCAUUAAGCGCUUAACAGCGCAGUCCUGGUGGUCUAUCAAACGGGUCGACGAGGAGGGGAGGAUAGACACAGGCAGAGGGUAACAAUAAAGACCUCUCCGACUACCUCCUCUAGACCUAUCUGCCAGAAACAUAUAAAAAGAUGGUUCUACUGGCUGAGACACAUCGCCUCAGACGACUUUGUGACGCUUUUGAAUACAUCAGACCACCGGAAGGAGCCCACGGGAGACGUAUGAAGGAGACCACCCGGGGCACUGGUGGGGCGGGGCACCUCGGAACGGGGAUGAGAGACAAAGAAUGACCGGAUGGCUAAGCUACCCACAUGCCUCCAAGCCACCUUCCCUCCCAUACUCCCCCGCCUCCCCCUGUUUAAAAUUUUUUCUCUCUCUCUCUCUCUCCAUCUUCUACCUUUCCUCUCUCCUCCGUCACACGCAAGUGCCUGAAACAGGCCACACACAAACACAAACCCUAGGGGGAGACACACAUGUACGCAGACAUAUGACCAUACACAAAACCUCUACUGAUUACAUAACCUACAAUCCCAGUAAAGCGCACAACCCCAUACACUACCCACCAGCACACCAAGACUCGCGACAGAAGCUUCAGACCGAGACACCCAAAACCACACUAAACGGGAGAAGAACUACAGAAUACACACGCAACAUACAAGGCUGCACAGCCCCUCAACUAUCGCACCACUACACACACACGUGAACACCACCAUCACCAAGACAGAGCAGGCCCCGCUUGGGAAAACACAGGCAUAAACCAACAAUCCACCUGUAUUAAACUACGCAAAUGCAUCAUUGCCACACGGACACGAUCACGCGAACCUAUAAUCAUUGAGUCACGAAAACGCUCUCACUACUCACAACAAAUAUGAACAGGUGCACUGCCAAUUUCAGCAAGAAUACCGACACUACCCACCUGGAUAAUAGGAACAAUAUAUCAACAAAAGGGUCACACCCGAUGGCUAAACAUAUGCAAGUUCAUAUCAGAUAUACAAUGCGCAGUGCCGCUGCGCAGGCACCAAAACGACUACAUAGGAUGUAUACGCUAGGAUUACACAGAUAAAAGACAAUCAUACAAGCAACAAAUUAGCUAACGCAAGACAACAAUAAAAGCCAACUAACACAAAGCAACUACACAAACCAGCUAACACAAAGCAGUUAUGCAAACCAGCUAACACAGAGCAACUACGCAAACCAGCCAACAUGAGGCGACUACACGAACCAGCUAACAAAAAGUAUUUACACAAACUAGCUACCACAAAACACCUACACUAACCAGCUCACACAAGACAAAUACACAAACCCAAAUCACAGUAGGUCCUGCAAACCGAGGAAAUAUGUCAUAAAGUUCACAGAGUACACACUUGCCUCACUAAACUAACUGCACAUGUUCCGUUUACAUGUCUCAAUAUGUAUACGCCUCUGCGUAAGCAACCAUAUGCUUUUAUAAUACUAUGUUUGAUGUCCGCAUAUACAAUGUGACGACAAUAAAAAACUAUUUAAAACAGAAUGUUCUGAAUAGUGUUUGGAAUGGCAUUGGUUAGCAUCCUGUGAGUCUGUUAAACUGCCUAGACUAUACUUAAAAAGCAGACAAAUAUUUAUGAGGUUCCAUGGUUUGCAUUAAAGGGACACUAUAGUCACCCAGACCACUUCAGCCCAAUAAACUGGUCUGGGUGCCAGGUCCCUCAGGCUUUAACCCUUAGGAUGCAAACAUAGCAGUUUCAGAGAAACUGCUAUGUUUACAUCUGGGGUUAAACCAGCCUCUAGUGGCUGUCUUCUGGACAGCCACUAGAGGCGCAUCUGCGAUGCUGGAGGCAUAUUAUGCCUCCAUCACGCAGCGCGUCCAUAGGAAAGCAUUGAGAACUGCUUUCCUAUGGACACUUUGAAUGUGCGCUCGGCACUGCCGCGCAUGCGCAUUCCGCUCCGCUGACGUCAGAUGGGGGAGCUGACAUCGGCGGGGGAGGAGAGGUAAGGGAGCCCGGUGGUGGAAUAAGGUGAGUAACUGAAGGGGUUUUAACCCGUUUAGCACCACGGGAGGGGGACCCUGAGGGUGGGGGCACCCUCAGGGUACUAUAGUGUCAGGAACCGAUUUGUUUUCCUGACACUAUAGUGAUCCUUUAAUUGGAAAAAACUCUCAUUGUUUUAUGGAAGUCAGUAAACAUGUAGAAGUAUGAUGACUCUGUGAUACAUGCCAGUGUGCACAGUCUUGCGUUCAAUCAAAGGACAAACAAAAAAGAUGCAAACAUAUGCAAAUUUGGUCAAAAUCAGGAUAGUGCAUAUAUUGUGUUAUUUAAGUAGUUAUAGAAAACAAACAAUUCUAAAUAUUAUAGCCUCUCUGUAUUACUUUGCAUUCUAUACAUAUAAGUGCAGCGCUGCGGAAUCUGUGUGCGCUUUAUAAAUAGCAAUAAUAAAUAAAUAAAUAAAUAAAUAAAUAAUAAGUAAAUGCUACGUUUUAGUAAUCUUUCUCUUGGCUCAGCCCUGCUCUGUAGGGCAAUAUGCACUGCCUGCCCUGUCCUUUAUAGCCCUUGGCUACCUAAGCUCAUACUCAGUCUUGGCGCUGUAAAAAUGUAAGUAAAAUACUAUUUUAAUAUCUUUUUAUGCUGAACGGCAGGGUGGGUGACUACCAGACCCAUGGAUAAGAGCACUAAAGCAUUAGGAAUACACAUUUGCAUUCCUAAUGUUUUGGUGUUCCUUUCAAUACUAGUUUGUACAUGGAAUUAAUUCUAGUUCCUUGUCUGUAUUCACUAUGAUGCCCCGUUGCAGUAGGGUAAACAAUCAUUGUCUUGCGCUGGUAACUAUUUUUAAAAGGUUCGAUGCUUUUAAAUAUAUUUUUGAAUGAAUUAUCUGAACUUAAAAUGUUGCCAUUAUAACAUUAUAUUUCAUAAAACAUACAUAACUUUAUUAUUUAGAAUGGAUGCUCAUUUUGCACUUUUUGAAUCUGCAGAGUGUUUUAGAACAGGAGGAGUAAUCAGGAGAGAGGAAAUGUUGGAUGGAUUUCAAUUUCAGGAAGGGUGAUCAGAUUUCAUAUAGGAAGGGUGAGUGAGCAGUAGGGGUGGAAAAUAACAAACCACCAAGCUACAAUACAAUUAAAGGAACUAAACUGCUAUACUUUUUAUUUAUGUUUACUGAAACAUGAAGGUUACAUGGAUUAUAGCAUCUGUGCAUAUUUUUGCAAUUUACACAUAUAAGUAUAUAUUUAUUGUUAGUGCAUCUCCUGGCUUACCUUGGCUUUGUAUGGGACACUAUAGUCACCAAAUCAACCUUAGCUUAAGGAAGCAGUUUAGUGUAUAGAUUAUGCCUCUGAAGUCUCACUGCUCAGUUCUCUGCCAUUUAAAAAGUUAAAUAACUUUCUGUUCAUACCACCCUAGCCACAUCUCUAGCUGCAGCACUGGCAGUGACUCACACGCAUUACAAAAAAAUUAUUUAAUUUUCAAUCCGUUAACUUACUUUAGAUGUUUUUAUCUCCUGCUCUGUAAGUUGAACUUUAAUCACACACAGUAGGCUCCUGCAAGGUCUAGCAAGCCAAUAACAGAGCAGGGGGUAGGAAAUUCUAACUUAAACAGACGGUGCAAUAAAGGAAGCGUAAACAUUAGAUCUCUCUUCACAGAAAGUAUUUUGGAAGGCUGUGCAAGUCACAUGCAGGGAGAUGCGACUAUGACUGCAUAAACAAAGGGAUUUAACUACUAAAUACCAGAGAAUCGAGCAGUGAGACUGCAGAGGUCCCUUUACAGUUUCCCUUUAUGUCCACUUUGGCUAGAGGUAUCCGCUAUCUGCCAAGACAUGAGUUAAAACCAGCACAUUUUGGAAAUGUCUAGCAUUUCUGCAUGACAUCAUGGUUUUUGAAUAUGCACUAACAUUUACAGGGUUAUUCACUUCAGUGAGAAUUGUCAUGAAGUUAAAGUGAAUUUCACAUUUAAGGCCAGAGUAGACAAACUGAAAGUGUAGAUGACUUGGGUAAUUUUUCAGUUUGGUUAUUUUAGACUUACAUUUAAAAUUAUUAAUAAUUAAUUCCUGAAGGUUCUCAAAAAAGAAAAACCCUGGUAAUUAUUUGCAGGGGCUUUUGAACAUAAAUGUUGAUUCUGGUUCAAGAGGAUUUAAAGAUGGCUGCCUCUUUAGAGAAAUGAUAAGACAGGAAAUAAACUGAAAUGCAUUUAUGUGUAUUUAUUAUGAAAUAAUUCACACAGAGGAUAUAAUACAUGUAAGUUUUAUUUCAAAUAAUGUAAAAAUACAAAAAUGUUCCUUUAUAGGUGAAUUCUGAUAAACUUGCUUUUUAUGACUUUGAACAAUUCCAUAAAAUCAAAAAUUAGAGAAGCCUCUAUUACAGUGAUCUCAAAGAAACCAAGAGGGGUCAUUUUUAGCUGCCUGUAAAGUUUAAAGGGAUACAUCAAUGUUUUACAUCUCAGGGCUAAACACAAAACAUCAUUGAAAUGGAGGAACAGCAAUGUUUACGUUGCAGGGCUAAACACACCUCUAGUGGCUGUAACACUAACAUCCACUAGAUGGUGCUUCUUCAUUGAGAACUGAGUCAGACUUGAAACAUUACAUGACGACACCGAAAGUUCAAUCAAUGCUUUUCAUAGAGAGGCAUUUGAUUCAGAGCUUCUCUAUGAGAAGCAUUUGAUUGGAUGAGUGCAGUAGUUGCUGUGCAUGUGCUUCUAGUCUACAAGAAACAUUUAAUUGGACGAGAAAUUUAAAAGGAGAGAAGACAAAACAGAAGAUGGAGUGGGGGACUUCAUGGACUGAGUCUUGGUACUAGGAAGUAAAGGGUUAUUUAGAUUAAAUUUUUAAACAUAAAAGACUGGGUCUGGGUUUCACAAUUAAGCGAGUAAACAAAUUACAUUAAAAAAAAAUAUAUAUAUAUAUAUAUGGAAAUAUAUAUAAUUUUUAUAACAAUAGUAUCUUUGUUAAUGUUAAUGCAACCAAUAGUCAUCCUUUACAGAAUAUUUUGUUAUAUCAAAGUUAUUUUAUUUCUUAUCCAGAACACUUUACAAUGUAUGCAACUAAACGGUGGCCAUUAUGCAAACAAGGGAUAAAUAAUUAGGCACAGUGAAACAAAAGGGGAAGAAAACUUUGCCUGUGAGCUUAAAACCUAGAGAAAAAAAAUGCACAUUUAGACAAAAGGUUGUGCAGAGAAAUAAAAUUGUGAAGUAACACUUCAAAUUCCUGAAGUGGUCAUGUACUUGGAGUAACCCUUUAAGGGCUAUGGGUAAAGUCUCUCUUUCCCUCUCGUUUUUAUGAAAAGUCCUUUUUUUUAUGAAAGAAAAAUAAAAAAGGAGAAUGACUGCUUAGCUAUUUAGAGAGCAAUCCAUUACGGCAACUCAGCACGUUUCACAUUUCACAGGUACACACACAUAUAUAUGUAUGAGAUUGUCUCACAGAAACACUGAUUCACACACACAAACACUAACAAAUACACAUACAAAAACACAGACACUCACAGAUAUGUUCACACAUGUUCAUACAAAUUCAGACACACAGAAUCACACUCAGUCACAGAAUCAGACACACACUCAGAUCAACACACAGUCAUAGAUUCACACUGAGAUGGAGAAUAUACUACUGUUCUGCCUACCAGCCACCACACUUCAUAAAGAUAAAUAGAAAGAGCUGAGGCUGUGCACAUUGCAGCUUCAAUUGCAGUGAACCUAUUUUGGGCAUAAGCCUGGAGCUCCGUCAGCCCACAUAUCAAUUUGGCCCUGCCCCUAGCCAUCAAUCAUUAUUUUUCCUCAUCAAACAUUUAUUUUUCCGAUGCUAAAGAAAGUCAGGCAGGAUCACGAAUCAAAAAUAUUUUCAACCAUUGCACAGCUCAUUUGGUUCAUGAGUCAGCUACAUUACGGCUUGGAGUUUGGGAAUUCGACCAAUCACCUGGUCCGCCCAAAUUCGGAGGAAUUGCCGUUUGAAGCAAGUUUCCAAGUCUACUUAAUAUUAUAAAUCUUUGACACUGUGUAAAAUUUACCUCAUUCGAUUAAUUCAUUUGACAUAUUUUACAUCAAUUGCCUUUUAGAGACAUACCAUAAAUAUACCACAGUCUUAUUCUGUGUACAUAUAUUUAACAUUUGAACUAACUUUCCAUUUCACCUCACUAUUGGUUUUAAAAAAGCAUCUGCGCCAAUCUGCACCAGAUGGAAUAUAUUUGAAUAAUUCCUAGAACUAAACUAACUAAUAAUUCUGACUUCCACACUAAUGUUACAUUUCUGGUGUGUUUUGAAAGUGUGUUAGAUUGUAAAAUUACAGUGGGUUUGUUCAGGCAGUGGUUACAUUUUUAUUUGUCUUUGUUUUCAGGAAGAAGCUAUACAUCUGCUGUUCUGUAGUCUCAGCCAGAUCAGACUGGUUUCAACUGGUUCAGAGCAGUUUGUGAGUUUAACACCCGCAGGAGCUGCCUGGAAUAUCUGGAGCAGACUCUGAUGGAAACAUCAGAUGGAACUGAAUAUUUACCGAACAAGCAACUAUGUUGCCCAGACUGAGGCAUGUGGAAUGCUGAACAUGCUAAACCACUAAUACACUAUCUACCACUACACCAGCUACGGGAUCAAUAUAAAGUUUUUUAUUUUAACCUAUUUUUUGCCAGAAUAAAUGUACUGCAACGACUUGGUGAUCUUUGUAAGUGGUUUCACAGCCCACUCC
rnacentral:lncRNA from 1 species